AAAUUAUAAAUUUUAUAUGAAGGCACGCAAGGCAUUGGUUGGGAAUUGACUUUGGGUUUGAGGUGGGUCAUGAUCGUUGAUUUGCUUGAAAUUGUUCUUGAACCCAAUGUUAUUUAAAUUUAAUUCUUGCUGAGCUGCUUCAGAUCGAACUCGACCAGACAAGACUAAAAACCGGACCGUGACCUAAUAAAAAGGGUUAAUCAAACUUUUGCCCCAUACAUAAUUAAUUAUAACGAUCGAAUCAGGACCAAAACCUAUUUAAUCAUAGCCUUAGCUUGAUUACAACCCCAUCAGGUUACUAAACCGGGUCAACACAAUCUCCUCCUUAUAUGAAAGAUUACAACCAGGAGAGAGACAAGUUCAAAGUCUGUUUUGAGAGAAGAAUUAUUUACCUCUUACCAUAUUUUAAAUUUAUUUCAAUGUUUAUUCAAUUUUAUGGUAAAGUAUGUAUUUAUUAGUUUAAGAACAUUGAUAAGUGCUAUGAAAAGAUAACUAAAUUAUAAAUUAUUCAGCACUUAUCA
rnacentral:lncRNA from 1 species